rnacentral:misc_RNA from 1 species
GAUGAAGAACGUAGCGAAAUGCGAUAAGUAAUGUGAAUUGCAGAAUUCAGUGAAUCAUCGAAUCUUUGAACGCACAUUGCGCCCGCCAGUAUUCUGGCGGGCAUGCCUGUUCGAGCGUCAUCUCAACCAUCAAGCCCUGCUUGCGUUGGGGUCCUGCGGCUGCCCGCAGGCCCUGAAAACCAGUGGCGGGCUCGCUAGUCACACCGAGCGCAGUAAUACAUCUCGCUUUGGGCGUGCGGCGGGUUCUUGCCGUUAAACACCCCCUUUUUACCAAGGUUGACCUCGGAUCAGGUAGGAAUACCCGCUGAACUUAAGCAUAUCAAUAAGCGGAGGA